GACAGGGACAACCUCCUUGUCAAAGCCUGAUCUCAUCAUAAGCAGGGUCGGGUCUGGUUAGUUCUUGGAUGAGAGACCACAGGGAAUUCCAGGUAUCACAGUGG
rnacentral:rRNA from 1 species